rnacentral:rRNA from 1 species
UACGUAGGGUGCGAGCGUUGUUCGGAAUUACUGGGCGUAAAGCGCGCGUAGGCGGUUUGAAAAGUCAGAUGUGAAAGCCCCGGGCUCAACUUGGGAACUGCAUUUGAUACUGUCAGACUAGAGUACAGAAGAGGUGACUGGAAUUCCCAGUGUAGCGGUGAAAUGCGUAGAUAUUGGGAGGAACACCAGAUGCGAAGGCGGGUCACUGGGCUGAUACUGACGCUGAAGCGCGAAAGCCAGGGGAGCGAACGGG